CCGGGGCGGGCCGGAGGCGGAGGUCGUGGGGAACCGCGCGCGUUGGCCCAGGGGAUGGGGUGCUGAAGGAGGGCGAGGAGUUGGCAAACUUUCCAGGUGCCCGGUGUGUGUGUGUAUGUGCGCUUAGACGGACAGCAAGCCCCCGUCGUCACUCUGUCAAGCGAACAGUCGCCCCUUUGGCCAGAUGGAGAAGCUUUUUUCGGCGCCCAAGAGGAGAAUCAUAACAGAAACCGCAAGGGCACACGCUGGCUGCGCUAGCGCCACAUGCCGACGAGGACCACGGCCGCCGCUCCGCCCCCACCCCCCCACCCCCGACUGCCACCCCCACCUCAGCCCGUGGUGAGGUUGGGGUGAGGUGCGUAUAUAUUCAAGCUGGGGGAGAACGGUAAGGUAGAGAGAGGGCAGUGUUGCCGCUCCCGCGUUGCACGUGUUACCAUGCCCCCAAGAGUUUUCUCGAAGGUUAGAAAAGGAAGGUGUAUGAAGCUCAUGCCGUGUACAGACCUCACUGAAGUAUUCCAGGAAACUGUCGUCGUAGAAAGCUUCCAACAGACUGGGUAUCUGAUAAGCCCCUCUCUUUUCAAGAUCCAUUCUGAAAUACUCAGGAAGGGAAGAGUACUAUAUGCUUGUUUGGCUCGAAAACAUCCCAGCAAAGUGUCCACGGGAAGAAGAAACUAGGAAGGCACCAGUUUUAAAUCGGAAGAUGACUAAAGCUUAGGCGACGGGUACUCGGACUCCUCCGUCUUUGUAUAUGUUCGCGAUUCUCUAUGGGGAAAAUGUCAAAAAGCAGGUGACAGACGCUUGUGCAGUUAUCCCGUGAAGACGUACUAGGAAGAGACUCUAAACGCAGGCUGUCCUUGAGAACAGUUUGUUCGUUUAAAAAAAGUAGAAUACAAAAAAAAGCACGAAAAUGGAAACACCCAAGUUUUAACAGUGCUGGGGUGGGGAGUAGGGCAUGGUGGUUUUUUUUUUUUUUUAAUCUUUGCACUGUUGUCGUCGUGUGCCAUCCAGUGGGUUGGGACUCGUAGUGACCCUACGGGACAGAGUUGAACUGCCCCAUAGGGUUCCUAAAGAGCAGCCUGUGGAUUCGAACUGCUGUCGUUUUGGUCAGCAGCUGAGCUCUGAACCGCUGAGCCACCAGGGCUCCAUCUUCGCACUAACUCUCCAGUAUGAGAAGCAGUCUAAACGCAGGCCGUCCUUGAGGAAAUUGAAUGAGAUGACGAGAGAGUGCGUCGAAAAGAGGGCGUUGAAAAUUCCAGCCACAGGUAUUUUCCUUCCACAAGCUGUAAAACGCAUCGCACUGCACGCACCCAACGUUAGGAAGCUGCCUCAAGGGCUGCAAUUUCUUACUCCUUUUAGUUGAGACGGGACAUCUCCAAGUGUGUUCACAACCCAAAGGUCGUCAUAAGGGAAUGACAGCACCCUCAGUCCAUCAAACACACGCCCCCUUGGAGGGGUGAGGAAACUCUCUUCGAUGUCACGAAGACAGUCACGACAGCAACCGGAAGGGCACAUACCAGCAGCGCUAGCCAAAGGUAGUAAUAAAUAUUAGGGGAGAAAAGGGAUUCAUAAUGAGGUCAGAGAAGCAAUGGGUUGAACAAAGGUAAUUUUUUUGUUGUUGUUCUCAGAAUCUGUUACUAGGCAGAGGUAUUAUCACUGCCUUAGUUUUUAGUAGUCCAUUAUAAUCUACAAUCAUUUCAUUAUUUAAAUUUUCCUUAAAUUUGGAGUUUGGCCACAAUGUUAAUCUCUGAAUCAUGAAUGACAGAGCAGUUAUGGCAAAUUGUCCACUCUGAGCAAAACGUACCCCAGAGAUGAAGAUUGCAUGACUCCAGUGGCAUUACAGUGGUUACACUGAUUAUUCACUGAUUUCUAGUGGCUCUCAGUCAUCUACCUACCUAGUUUUUAAAAUGGCUAAUGAUCAUUUGGAUUAUAGUUUUGCUGUAUAUAAAUAUAUAUUAGUAUUUUUUAAAGUGGGAAUCAUGAUCAUUAAGUUGUGAAGACAAUUUUGUAAGCUACAAUGUUUAUAAUAGAAAACAGCAAAGUGCACUGCAAUUAGAAUAGGUAAGUAUUGUUUGAGGGAACUUUUGUUUGUUAUUUUAUCAAAGGCUUUGGAUGCGGUUCAUAGUCACCCAAUUUUAGAGUCUUGAGUUCUGAGAAUACUAUCCACCAAAUCCUGGGAAUCAGACAUGGAAAAAUCUCAAUCAUUUACUGCCUCAACACCUUCUCCAGUUCAUUCUCACUCACCGAACACCAACCAGAGCCACCGUCACUCCUCUGACCAUCCAACUGCAUUCAACGACGCUUUGUCAGGAUUCCAUUACUUAAAAGUUGCUUUUAUUUUGCCAAGUGUUAUUUGUAUUUAUUAUGCAUCUAACAUGUUUCACUGUUUACUGUCAUUUUAGUAUCUGUUACCUGAAGUGUAGGAAAACUUAAUUCAUAUUUCAUAUUGUUCAAUAUCACUGCAUAAAGCCCAGAAAAGUAUCGACUAAUUCACUAAUUGUUGGGGUUUGAAAUAUUUUACAUUAUUCAGAAAUACUUCACAGAAGUCAUGUAGGUGGUUUAAGUUGAAUUUGAAUUAUAUUUUGAGAAAUUGGUUAGGGGUUUUUAAUGGCGUGGGAACACAUUUUCUCCAUUUAAAACAAUGGUGAUAUGUUGUUGUGUUCGCUGCUGCCGUGUCACUUCCAACUCAUAGCGACCCUGUGUACAACAGAAGAAGACACUGCUCAGUCCUGCACCAUCUUCACAACCUUUACUAUGUUUGAACCCACCACUGCAGCCACUAGGUCAAUCCAUCUCACUGAGGGUCUUCCUCUUUUUCCAUGACCCUCUACCUUACCAAGCAUGAUGUCUUCCUCCAGGGACUGGUCCCUCCUGGUAACGAUGUCCAAAGUACGUGACAUGAAGUCUUGCCAUCUGCACUUCCAAGGUGCACUCUGGAUGCACUUCCUCCAAGACAGGCUUGUUUGUUCUCCUGGCAGUCCAUAGUAUAUUCAAUAUUCUUUGCUAACACCAUCAUUCAAAGGUAUCAAUUCUUCAGUCUUGCUUAUUCAUUGUCCAGCUUUCACAUACAUAUGAGGUGACUGAAAA